UACGAAGGGGGCUAGCGUUGUUCGGAAUUACUGGGCGUAAAGCGCUCGCAGGCGGAUCGAUAAGUCGGGGGUGAAAUCCCGGGGCUUAACCUCGGAAUUGCCUUCGAUACUGUCAAUCUAGAGUCCGGGAGAGGUGAGUGGAAUUCCUAGUGUAGAGGUGAAAUUCGUAGAUAUUAGGAAGAACACCAGUGGCGAAGGCGGCUCACUGGCCCGGAACUGACGCUCAUGAGCGAAAAGCGUGGGGAGCAAACAGG
rnacentral:rRNA from 1 species